UACGAAGGGGGCUAGCGUUGCUCGGAAUCACUGGGCGUAAAGGGUGCGUAGGUGGGCAAGUAAGUCAGUGGUGAAAUCUCCGGGCUUAACCCGGAAACUGCCAGUGAUACUAUUUGUCUUGAAUACUGUGGAGGUCAGCGGAAUAUGUCAUGUAGCGGUGAAAUGCUUAGAUAUGACAUAGAACACCAAUUGCGAAGGCAGCUGGCUACACAAAUAUUGACACUGAGGCACGAAAGCGUGGGGAUCAAACAGG
rnacentral:rRNA from 1 species